UGCCAGCAUCCUCGGUAAUACGGAGGGCGCAAACGUUGUUCGGAAUCACUGGGCAUAAAGAGCACGUAGGCGGUCCGCUAAGUCGAAUGUGAAAGCCCCCGGCCCAACCGGGGAACUGCAUCCGAUACUGGCGGGCUAGAGGACGGUAGGGGUAAGUGGAACUCCAGGUGGAACGGUGAAAUGUGUAGAUAUCUGGAGGAACACCGGUGGCGAAAGCGGCUUACUGGACCGUAUCUGACGCUGAGGUGCGAAAGCUAGGGUAGCGAACGGGAUUAGAUA
rnacentral:rRNA from 1 species